GACGAACCGUGCUAACGUUGUUCGGAAUCACUGGGCUUAAAGGGCGCGUAGGCGGUCUGCCAAGUCAGGGGUGAAAUCCUUCGGCUUAACCGGAGAAGUGCCUUUGAUACUGGCGGACUUGAGGGAGGUAGGGGCAGAUGGAACUGGUGGUGGAGCGGUGAAAUGCGUUGAUAUCGGAAGGAACGCCGGUGGCGAAAGCGAUCCGCUGGCCCUCUACUGACGCUGAGGCGCGAAAGCCAGGGGAGCAAACGGG
rnacentral:rRNA from 1 species